rnacentral:rRNA from 1 species
GAUGAACGCUGGCGGCGUGCCUAAUACAUGCAAGUCGAGCGAACAGACGAGGAGCUUGCUCCUCUGACGUUAGCGGCGGACGGGUGAGUAACACGUGGAUAACCUACCUAUAAGACUGGGAUAACUUCGGGAAACCGGAGCUAAUACCGGAUAAUAUAUUGAACCGCAUGGUUCAAUAGUGAAAGACGGUUUUGCUGUCACUUAUAGAUGGAUCCGCGCCGCAUUAGCUAGUUGGUAAGGUAACGGCUUACCAAGGCAACGAUGCGUAGCCGACCUGAGAGGGUGAUCCGCCAACCUUGAACCGGGGCACCGGCCCAGCUCCUAAGGGAGGCAGCAGUAGGGAAUCUUCCGCAAUGGGCGAAAGCCUGACGGAGCAACGCCGCGUGAGUGAUGAAGGUCUUCGGAUCGUAAAACUCUGUUAUUAGGGAAGAACAAAUGUGUAAGUAACUAUGCACGUCUUGACGGUACCUAAUCAGAAAGCCACGGCUAACUACGUG